GUAACUCUUCUUCUUCUCCAUUUUUUUCUCUAAAACCGUACCCACCCACACUACCACCUUCAACUCCAUUUUUCUUCACUUUUGAACCAAACUAAAGAUGUGACGGCAAGUCUACUAUAGACGGAUCAAAUUGAAGGAGCACCGGUUGGAGUAGACCGAGUGGUUAAUAGUGGAUCGUCAUGGCGUAUUUAAUUGUGGAGGACAGUCUGUAUAUUGUCUGUAUUUGAACGAGACUUCAUCUUUUUGAUUCUUGAAGUCUUCAUGUUGCGUAUAUGGUAUUUGGUCUUAUUUUGAUAUGUAGAGCUGCAGUAGAAUAAAUAGACAGAUGCCUUAGCAUGUUAGUAUUUGCGAUGUUUGCCACGCAUGAACUCUGUUUUGUUUUCAUCGCACGAUUAUAAUAUAUUUUAACGAUAUGCAUUAAAGUAUUGGAACAUAGUUGCAACCCGGGUACACGGUAGUACCGGGAGUUUUGA